UGUGUAUAUCCCGCACACGAUGCCGCAUACGCGUCUGGAUGCGAGUGAGGAUUUUAAGGGGAAGAGUUCGCGGGGGCUUUACGGCGAUGUGAUUGAGGAGAUCGAUUUCAAUGUGGGGAGGAUUCUUGAUGCGAUCGUGGAAAUGGGCCUGGAAGAAAAUACCUACGUUCUCUUCACGAGCGAUAACGGGCCCUGGUUGAUUAAGAACAAGGAGCAUGCCGACGGUCAUUUGCCGGAGGAUCACGGAGGGUCAGCGGGGCCGUUGCGCAGCGGGAAGGUUUCGACUUUCGAGGGAGGGCAGCGGGUGCCGACGAUUCUGUGGGGGCCGGGACGGGUGCCGGCGGGGACGGU
rnacentral:rRNA from 1 species